rnacentral:tRNA from 1 species
GGAGAGGUCGGAUAACGGCAUUCCACCACUCUUGAAAAGUGGCGUCCGCAAGGACAUGCGAGUUCGAAUCUCGCCCUCUCCGCCA